AGAGUUUGAUCCUGGCUCAGGACGAACGCUGGCGGCGUGCCUAAUACAUGCAAGUCGAGCGGACAGAUGGGAGCUUGCUCCCUGAUGUUAGCGGCGGACGGGUGAGUAACACGUGGGUAACCUGCCUGUAAGACUGGGAUAACUCCGGGAAACCGGGGCUAAUACCGGAUGCUUGUUUGAACCGCAUGGUUCAAACAUAAAAGGUGGCUUCGGCUACCACUUACAGAUGGACCCGCGGCGCAUUAGCUAGUUGGUGAGGUAACGGCUCACCAAGGCAACGAUGCGUAGCCGACCUGAGAGGGUGAUCGGCCACACUGGGACUGAGACACGGCCCAGACUCCUACGGGAGGCAGCAGUAGGGAAUCUUCCGCAAUGGACGAAAGUCUGACGGAGCAACGCCGCGUGAGUGAUGAAGGUUUUCGGAUCGUAAAGCUCUGUUGUUAGGGAAGAACAAGUACCGUUCGAAUAGGGCGGACCUUGACGGUACCUAACCAGAAAGCCACGGCUAACUACGUGCCAGCAGCCGCGGUAAUACGUAGGUGGCAAGCGUUGUCCGGAAUUAUUGGGCGUAAAGGGCUCGCAGGCGGUUCCUUAAGUCUGAUGUGAAAGCCCCCGGCUCAACCGGGGAGGGUCAUUGGAAACUGGGGAACUUGAGUGCAGAAGAGGAGAGUGGAAUCACGUGUAGCGAAUGGUAGAGAUGGGAGGAACACCAGGGAAGGCGACU
rnacentral:rRNA from 1 species